GAUGAACGCUAGCUACAGGCUUAACACAUGCAAGUCGAGGGACGGGCGCACGGGUGAGUAACACGUAUCCAACCUGCCCUUUACUCGGGGAUAGCCUUUCGAAAGAAAGAUUAAUACCCGAUGUAAAGGAUGGGGAUGCGUUCGAUUAGGUUGUUGGUGAGGUAACGGCUCACCAAGCCUUCGAUGGAUAGGGGUUCUGAGAGGAAGGUCCCCCGCAUUGGAGCUGCGGCACGGACCAAAAUCCGACGGGAGGCAGCAGUGAGGAAUAUUGGUGAAUGGGCGUUGGCCUGAACCAGCCAAGUAGCGGGAAGGAUGAAGGGUUUGGAGACGUAAACUACUUUUGUAUAAGAAUAGGUAUUAUAUGAAUAAGGAUCGGCUAACUCCGUGCCAGCAGCCGCGGUAAUAC
rnacentral:rRNA from 1 species